rnacentral:rRNA from 5 species
UUGACCUCGGAUCAGGUAGGACUACCCGCUGAACUUAAGCAUAUCAAUAAGCGGAGGAAAAGAAACCAACAGGGAUUGCCCCAGUAACGGCGAGUGAAGCGGCAACAGCUCAGAUUUGGAAUCUGGCCCCCAGGGCCCGAGUUGUAAUCUGGAGAGGAUGCUUCUGGCGCGGCGCCUUCCGAGUUCCCUGGAACGGGACGCCGGAGAGGGUGAGAGCCCCGUACGGUUGGACGCCUAGCCUUUGUGAAGCUCCUUCGACGAGUCGAGUAGUUUGGGAAUGCUGCUCAAAAUGGGAGGUAAAUUUCUUCUAAAGCUAAAUACCGGCCAGAGACCGAUAGCGCACAAGUAGAGUGAUCGAAAGAUGAAAAGCACUUUGAAAAGAGGGUCAAACAGUACGUGAAAUUGUUGAAAGGGAAGCGCCCGUGGCCAGACUUGUGCCCCGCGGACCACCCGGCGCCCUCAGCGCCGGUGCACUCCGCGGGGCGCAGGCCAGCAUCGGUUUUCCUAGGGGGAUAAAGGCGGCGGGAA